rnacentral:rRNA from 1 species
UAGGGAAUCUUCCGCAAUGGACGAAAGUCUGACGGAGCAACGCCGCGUGAGUGAUGAAGGUUUUCGGAUCGUAAAACUCUGUUAUUAGGGAAGAACAAAUGCGUAAGUAACUGUGCGCAUCUUGACGGUACCUAAUCAGAAAGCCACGGCUAACUACGUGCCAGCAGCCGCGGUAAUACGUAGGUGGCAAGUGUUAUCCGGAAUUAUUGGGCGUAAAGCGCGCGUAGGCGGUUUCUUAAGUCUGAUGUGAAAGCCCACGGCUCAACCGUGGAGGGUCAUUGGAAACUGGGAAACUUGAGUACAGAAGAGGAAAGUGGAAUUCCAUGUGUAGCGGUGAAAUGCGCAGAGAUAUGGAGGAACACCAGUGGCGAAGGCGACUUUCUGGUCUGUAACUGACGCUGAUGUGCGAAAGCGUGGGGAUCAAACA